CAGCAUUAAUUUCAAUUUGGCACCAGGAGCCGUGCCAAACGCUUCCAUCUUUUUGAAAUAACUGGGCCCUCCCCCCUCCCCACAUGUGUUAGCAUCCCGCCCCCGCAGGCGAGGCUGUGAACAGGCAGAGCACAGCGAGCGAGGGAGAGAGAGAGGGAAAGAGAAGACUGUGGCUGCUCUAUGUUAGCCCGGUGCUCCGAGAAGUAUGAACCUCCGCUGUGCUGAUGGGGCCUGGGGGUGAUGGUGGGGUUCGGAGUCGAUGGCCAAGAAAGAAUUCCUGAAGACGUCUUUGGUGCAAAAAGGUGCCCCACUUUUAAAACUGGUGCCUUGCUUUGACCAAUGGGAUACAGCAGAAGGGAAGCCAGCCACUGGGAGAGACGUCUGAGUACUGAGACCACCAGGCUGUGAGGAAGCGCAAGCUGGCCACCGGAUGAGACCACCCAGAGGAGCACCAAAGCCGAAGUCGCAUGAACGAAGCCUUCUCGAACCUUCCAGCUUAGCCCAGCUGCCAGCUGAAUGCAGUUCAGCGAAUGGCCCCAGCCAACACCGUGUGGGACAGAAACACCCCCCAGCUGUACUCUUGUCAACCCGCAGAGUAUAAGAAAUAAUCGCAUUGUUUACACGACUAAAUUCUGGCAUGGUUACAUAGCAACAGUAACCGAAACCUCUUUCCUGCUUGGGACCAUAGGGAGAGACAUCACCAACAUGCUGGGCAGGAAAAAAAAAAAAAAAAAAAAAGGCAAAGGAGAGGAACGGGCUGGUCCCAGAGGAGACUAUUGAGUUGACAAGCUAAAGCUGGAAGUUUCCACCUCGAGACCUCUUGUAGUGUCAGAUUGAAUUAAGCAUCUUCUUUCUUAAGCCUCUAUUAAUCAGUUCUUCUGGUACAAGCUGCCAAAGUCACUCCAACUGAUACCGCAGAUUGGUUACAGAUACCGAGCGCUGAUGCUUAUAAGGUGCUGCGGUGAGCAUAUCUAUUCCGAUGCCCCAAAGACCUGGGGCCUUGCUGAUACUGUCCAGGACUGCCUCUGGCAAGGUCAGCUCCUUCCGGGAGAGCCAACAAGCCAGCUGGGAGUGCGCCUUUCACAUGCAAACCAACCAGUUCUGGCUGCCUACUUCGGCAAGCUCUCAGCUCCCAGCUACUCUCCCCCUGCCCUAAUCACCCCAGUGCCAGGUACUAUCAAAAGGGGACACAGUCUGCACCUGGGAGCCUGCCGUACUAUUCAAACGAGUCCGUCUUAAACCUUCUCCGCUUGCCUGUUCCUUCCUGCAAAAAUCACAAUAAAGUCUCUUGCCCACGUUUUCCCCUCA